AACAAAGCAACUACAGACCCAAUCCCCCCACUUUCAGCUUCUCCCUUCAAGUACAACGAAGACAACGACCCAAUCGCAUCACGACACGCAUCCCUAACACCCGAAUCCGAAUCCUUCAGCCUUUUAACAAUGUUGCCGAUAAUUUUCGUCAAAUGGGUCGCCGCAGAAUCUCCGUGCGAAGCACAUACAGUGGGAAGAAGCCGAAGGGUUUCUUUCUUAACGGCAGGUUUUGGGUCG
rnacentral:misc_RNA from 1 species